AGCACCAGUGGUCUAGUGGUAGAAUAGUACCCUGCUACGGUACAGACCCGGGUUCAAUUCCCGGCUGGUGCACCUAGGAGCGGUGACG
rnacentral:tRNA from 1 species